UACGGGGGGGAGCAAGCGUUGUUCGGAUUUACUGGGCGUAAAGGGCGCGUAGGCGGCGCAACAAGUCACUUGUGAAAUCUCCGGGCUUAACCCGGAGCGGCCAAGUGAUACUGUCGUGCUAGAGUGCGGAAGGGGCUACUGGAAUUCUCGGUGUAGCGGUGAAAUGCGUAGAUAUCGAGAGGAACACCUGCGGCGAAGGCGGGUAGCUGGGCCGACACUGACGCUGAGGCGCGAAGCCAGGGGAGCGAACGGG
rnacentral:rRNA from 1 species